CACGUAGGGCGCAAGCGUUGUCCGGAAUUAUUGGGCGUAAAGAGCUCGUAGGCGGUCUGCCACGUCCGCUGUGAAAACCUAGGGCUUAACCCUGGGCUUGCAGUAGAUACGGGCAGACUAGAGGUAGGUAGGGGAGAAUGGAAUUCCCGGUGUAGCGGUGAAAUGCGCAGAUAUCGGGAGGAACACCGGUGGCGAAGGCGGGUCUCUGGGCAUCUCCUGACGCUGAGGCGCGAAAGCGUGGGGAGCAAACGGG
rnacentral:rRNA from 1 species